GACGAACGCUGGCGGCGUGCCUAACACAUGCAAGUCGAACGGGACUUAGUGGAAAGCGGCUUCGGCCAAUGGAAGCUAAGUUUAGUGGCGAACGGGGUGAGUAACGCGUGAGAAACCUGCCUUUCAGUGGGGGACAACAGUUGGAAACGACUGCUAAUACCGCAUAAUGUAUCCGGAGGGCAUCCUCUGGAUACCAAAGCUUAAUGUGCUGAAAGAUGGUCUCGCGUCUGAUUAGCUAGAUGGCGGGGUAACGGCCCACCAUGGCGACGAUCAGUAGCCGGUCUGAGAGGAUGAACGGCCACAUUGGGACUGAGAUACGGCCCAGACUCCUACGGGAGGCAGCAGUGGGGAAUAUUGGGCAAUGGGGGAAACCCUGACCCAGCAACGCCGCGUGAAGG
rnacentral:rRNA from 1 species